UCUCUUUCCUCCCUCGAUCUUCAAGAUUUUUUCUUUAGAAAUUUUGGCAAAAUUUUGGGAUAAUUUUUAAGUUUUUUCUCCGAAAAUUAUGGCAGAGUUCCAUGAUUAUUUUUAAUCUUGGCAGAGUUCGAGAAUGCUUUUUAUGCUUUUUCUUUGAAAAUUUUGAUAGACUCCCGAGAUGAUUUUAACCUUUAUCUUGCAUCUCAGUUUACUUCCCUUUCUUAUCUUUUGGCUUCUUUCUUUUUUUUUUCUUCCUUUUUUUUUCUUCUUCUUUUGUUCCCCUUCCUCUCAUAAUUUCCCCAUAAUUUCCCCCAAGAUUUCUUGAUUUUCCUCUCACAAAUCUCACUCAUAGUUUCACUCUUUCUUCCUCUCGAGUUUUUCUCUUUCUUUCUAUUUUUCUUCAAUUGCUUUUUAACUUUGCAUGCCUCUUCUCCUUUUCCCUAGCCCCUUAUUUUCAGAAUGCAGGAAAAGAAAAAUGAGAAGGGGAAGAGAAAGAGGACAACAUUCAGGGGACUGACCACCAACCCAACAAUACCCCAGCUAAGAAGACUUCAACAGGCUCUUUGAGACCGUCGAAGGCCUGACAACUGCAGCCCAAGAAAGAGAGGAGCACCUUGAUCCUCCUUAGUUUCACCCCUACAAUCUUGUGCAUGCUGGUGUUGACACCAAAAACAUAGAUAAGUUCAAGUGUUUGGGCCCCCCAGCAUUCGCAGGCAAAUCCAACCCCAUGAU
rnacentral:lncRNA from 1 species